rnacentral:rRNA from 1 species
CCUACGGGAGGCAGCAGUGAGGAAUAUUGGUCAAUGGUCGGGAGACUGAACCAGCCAAGCCGCGUGAGGGAUGAAGGUACAGAGUAUCGUAAACCUCUUUUGUCAGGGAACAAAGGCGGGGACGUGUCCCCGGAUGAGUGUACCUGAAGAAAAAGCAUCGGCUAACUCCGUGCCAGCAGCCGCGGUAAUACGGAGGAUGCGAGCGUUAUCCGGAUUUAUUGGGGUUAAGGGGUGCGCAGGCGGUCUGUUAAGUCAGCGGUCAAAGCCCGGGGCUCAACCCCGGCCCGCCGUUGAAACUGGCAGUCUUGAGUGGGAGAGAAGUAUGUGGAAUGCGCGGUGUAGCGGUGAAAUGCAUAGAUAUCGCGCAGAACUCCGAUUGCGAAGGCAGCAUGCCGGCUCCACACUGACGCUGAGGCACGAAAGCGUGGGUAUCGAACAGGAUUAGAUACCCUGGUAGUC